rnacentral:rRNA from 1 species
AUGAACGCUGGCGGCGUGCCUAAUACAUGCAAGUCGGGCGAACAGACGAGGAGCUUGCUCCUCUGACGUUAGCGGCGGACGGGUGAGUAACACGUGGAUAACCUACCUAUAAGACUGGGAUAACUUCGGGAAACCGGAGCUAAUACCGGAUAAUAUAUUGAACCGCAUGGUUCAAUAGUGAAAGACGGUUUUGCUGUCACUUAUAGAUGGAUCCGCGCCGCAUUAGCUAGUUGGUAAGGUAACGGCUUACCAAGGCGACGAUGCGUAGCCGACCUGAGAGGGUGAUCGGCCACACUGGAACUGAGACACGGUCCAGACCCCUACGGGAGGCAGCAGUAGGGAAUCUUCCGCAAUGGGCGAAAGCCUGACGGAGCAACGCCGCGUGAGUGAUGAAGGUCUUCGGAUCGUAAAACUCUGUUAUUAGGGAAGAACAAAUGUGUAAGUAACUAUGCACGUCUUGACGGUACCUAAUCAGAAAGCCACGGCUAACUACGUG